AACGAACGCUGGCGGCAUGCCUAACACAUGCAAGUCGAACGAGACCUUCGGGUCUAGUGGCGCACGGGUGCGUAACGCGUGGGAACCUGCCCUUAGGUUCGGAAUAACUCCCCGAAAGGGGUGCUAAUACCGGAUAAUGUCUUCGGACCAAAGAUUUAUCGCCUUGGAUGGGCCCGCGUUGGAUUAGCUAGUUGGUAGGGUAAAAGCCUACCAAGGCGACGAUCCAUAGCUGGUCUGAGAGGAUGAUCAGCCACACUGGGACUGAGACACGGCCCAGACUCCUACGGGAGGCAGCAGUGGGGAAUAUUGGACAAUGAGCGAAAGCCUGAUCCAGCAAUGCCGCGUGAGUGAUGAAGGCCUUAGGGUUGUAAAGCUCUUUUACCCGGGAUGAUAAUGACAGUACCGGGAGAAUAAGCUCCGGCUAACUCCGUG
rnacentral:rRNA from 1 species